rnacentral:misc_RNA from 1 species
CCAAUAGCGUAUAUUAAAGUUGUUGUGGUUAAAAAGCUCGUAGUUGAACCUUGGGCCUGGCUGGCCGGUCCGCCUCACCGCGUGUACUGGUCCGGCCGGGCCUUUCCCUCUGUGGAACCUCAUGCCCUUCACUGGGUGUGACGGGGAAGCAGGACUUUUACUGUGAAAAAAUUAGAGUGCUCCAAGCAGGCCUAUGCUCGAAUACAUUAGCAUGGAAUAAUAAAAUAGGACGUGCGGUUCUAUUUUGUUGGUUUCUAGGACCGCCGUAAUGAUUAAUAGGGACAGUCGGGGGCAUCAGUAUUCAAUUGUCAGAGGUGAAAUUCUUGGAUUUAUUGAAGACUAACUACUGCGAAAGCAUUUGCCAAGGAUGUUUUCAUUAAUCAGGAACGAAAGUUAGGGGAUCGAAGACGAUCAGAUACCGUCGUAGUCUUAACCAUAAACUAUGCCGACUAGGGAUCGGAUGAUGUUAAUUUUAUAAUGACUCAUUCGGCGCCUUACG